rfam:Mycosphaerella graminicola IPO323 chromosome 7, whole genome shotgun sequence.
AGCUGGAUAGUCAAGUGGUAUGACGCCCCAUGUACAAGCCCGGUGAGGGGGUGAGUAUUACCCUUCGGGGUGCGGCGUCCUGUGAUCCGGAGGUAGCUUGGGGAGGCCGAGGUUCGAUUCCUUGUCUAGCUA